rnacentral:rRNA from 1 species
UACGAAGGGGGCUAGCGUUGCUCGGAAUCACUGGGCGUAAAGCGCACGUAGGCGGACUCUUAAGUCAGGGGUGAAAUCCUGGAGCUCAACUCCAGAACUGCCUUUGAUACUGGGAGCCUUGAGUUCGGGAGAGGUGAGUGGAACUGCGAGUGUAGAGGUGAAAUUCGUAGAUAUUCGCAAGAACACCAGUGGCGAAGGCGGCUCACUGGCCCGAUACUGACGCUGAGGUGCGAAAGCGUGGGGAGCAAACAGA